CAAAGUUUACAAGUGCCUGGCUACCCGGUAGGCAAACAAAGCUAAUUAAAAGUAAAGACCACGUAUUUGGGCUAGCCCCGAGUUGGGCCACAAUCCCACAAACGAUUACUACUAGUCUUCUACUCUUCUUGAUAUGAUAGAGAGAGGGCACAUAUCUCUCGCUCUCCUCUAUAGGUAGCUUGUUUGUACCGCCCGUUGCACAAUAUUGGGCCAGCAAGCAGGUAUGGCCUCUGAGGCUCUGACAGCGUUCCUAUUGUGCUGUUGAUGUCUUAGAAAAUACAUCGAUGAAUUUUUCUUCCACUUGUUAUCUCUGUCACCCCCACGUCUACUGUCC
rnacentral:lncRNA from 1 species